AACGUAGGACGCAAGCGUUAUCCGGAUUUACUGGGCGUAAAGCGCGUGCAGGCGGCCUGUUAAGUCGUGCGUGAAAGCUCCCUGGCUCAACCGGGAGAGGUCGUACGAAACUGGCAGGCUAAGAGGGCAGCAGAGGAGUGUGGAAUUCCGGGUGUAGUGGUGAAAUGCGUAGAUAUCCGGAGGAACACCAGUGGCGAAGGCGGCACUCUGGGCUGUACCUGACGCUAAGACGCGAAAGCGUGGGUAGCGAACGGG
rnacentral:rRNA from 1 species